UGUCUGCAGAAUUAUGUGCAAUCCGUAAUAGUUCUUGCAGCGGCGUCACUGUUCAGUAUGACGGAGGUCAGCUCACAUGUACUUUCAGCCGUGAUGAAGUUCACGUUGAAAUCUUGUUUGGAGAUCUAAUGCCAAUACUUGGAUCUUUAAUGUUACUACGACUACAACAACUCCAAUUACCCCUACUAUUACUACCACUAGUACUUCUACUAUUACUCCCUCUACGACCACAACAACUACUCCAUCAACAUCUUUAACAACUACAGAUACAACUACAACUCUAACUACUACUACAACUCCCACAACUUCAACUACUACAGAUAUUUCAACUUCAACAACUUCUACUGGUACAACUACAACUACUACAACUACAACCACCACGACCCCAACUACGACCACAG